rnacentral:rRNA from 1 species
GGGUCAGUAGGUUGGUCGUGCCACCGGUACGUACUGGUCUCACUGAUUCCUCCUUCCUGAAGAACCGUAAUGCCAUUAAUUUAGUGUUGCGGGGAAACAGGACUGUUACUUUGAAAAAAUUAGAGUGUUUAAAGCAAGCUAACGCUUGAAUACAUUAGCAUGGAAUAAUGAAAUAGGACGAUCGAUCCUAUUUUGUUGGUUUCUAGGAUUGACGUA